CAGAGUUCCUGUAAAUCACAUGAUGCUGACAGCUGCUUUAUAUACAGGCAGCAUGCUGUCCAGACCAGAUUUCUCUGGGGGAACAAAAGAAAAAGAACACCAACUCAGACAUCGACAGCAAGAUACUCAUAAUGGCACGAUAUUGUGCUCUGAGGAAUGAAGACUUGAAGAUGCCAAAUGAAGACCAAAUAAACAAAAUCAGAACUAACAGCAAAUCAAAAAAAGGGUUCAUCACAAGAUAUUAUCUGAACACAAGGACUAUAAUAGACGGUGACAGACUAAAGAGAAUGGCGUUUGGAGAAAAGUACAAGAGCAAACCUCAUAAAACCAUAAUACUUGUUGGAGAAACAGGAGUAGGAAAAUCGACUCUAAUCAAUGCCAUGGUCAACUACAUGCUGGGUGUUAAAAGUGAAGACAGAAUCUGGUUUGAGAUCAUAGAGACAAAAGAAAAACAAACUGAUUCUCAGACAAAUGCAGUCACAGUGUAUGAUGUGUUUAUUAAUCACAGCUCGUUCUCUCUGACCGCCAUCGACACGCCUGGGUUUGGAAGCACUGAUGGUAUCGAGGAUGAUUUAAAUGUUGCUGAAAGUUUACACGAGUUAUUUAAAUCUAAAGAUGGAGUUCAUGAAAUUGAUGCAGUGUGUCUUGUCGUGUCAUCAAACACCACUCGACUCACUGACAGACAGCUGUAUAUUUUUGAUUCUGUUCUUUCAUUAUUUGGCAAUGAUGUGGAGAAAAACAUUGUUGUGUUCAUCACACACGCCACCACAAAACCUAAAAAUGCCAUUAAGGCCAUUAAACAGGCCAACGUUGUGUGUGCAAAGACUGAUAAAGAGGAGCCGGUGUAUUUCAAGUUUAACAACUGUCACUGUGAAGACUUUGAUGAUGAGGAAAUAUUCAGUGAUUACACGGUAGCGUGGGAUCAGUUCAACGCAUCCAUGAAGGACUUUUUGGCUUUUACUAAUUAUAGGCCAAGUGUAAGUCUGAAGGUAACUGAAAUUGUACUGAAAAAACGCAAACAAUUGACAGCAUCCAUCAACAAUAUAAAGGAUCGAAUCAUGAUGGCAGAUCACAAACAAAUAGAGCUUAAGCAGACAGAAGCGUUUUUACAACAACUUGAGGAAGAAAAAAAGGACAACUUUAAAGCCUUUGAAUGUAUGGUACAUGUGCCUUACAAAGAAAAGGUGCCUAUAGAACGUAAGUUGUGGAACUUUGUAAGCAAAGAGGCUACAUGCUGCAGUGUGUGUGAGGAGAACUGUCACUACCCAGGAUGCUGGUGGGUCAGUAAUCUUUCUAAGUGUAGUGUCAUGUCUGAGGGUAAGUGCACAGUGUGUACUGGAAAGUGUCACUACUCUGCCCAUAUCAAAGAGAAGAAAAUCUAUGUGGUGAAGGCAAGGAGGGUCAAGACGACUUUGGAAGAACUGAAAAUAAAAUAUGAAAAAACGUCUGAAGAUAUAAAGAGUUUAAUAAGCAAAUUAAAAUCUGAAAAAGAGGAACAAGAAAAACAAAAAGCUAGACUGGUAGACAAGUGUUAUCAGUAUGUGGUUAAACUGGAUACAAUUGCUUUAAAGAGUGACAGUGUGUCCAUCCUUCAGCACAUGGAUUUUUUGAUUGAGAAAGUGAAGGAAACAGGAAAAGCAGAACGAGUGAAGAAACUAGAAGAACUAAAGAAAAGAACUGAGGCUGAAAACCAGAAGCUCCUGAGAUAUAUACAAAGAUUUUGGAGUCCAUAAAAGUGGCCAGUGUGUCAGAGAAAUGUGCAGGGCAUCUCCAGGCCUCAGUGUCAAGUCAGCAAAAACCACUUUACCAAUCACUAUUCAUCCAGCGCAACACCUACUUUGCCUACUGUAGAUCAAAUGAAGAAGACAAAGUGGACGGUGAAGAAGCAUGCCACCUCAGAAGACCAAGAAUGCGGGAGAAUGUUCCGAAGUCUCCAUCAGCUCCACGUCAUCAGUCAGAUACUAAGCAACUUCAGGAGCUGCAGAAUUUGCACAAAGUUGUUGGACGUCCACCACAAGAGAAGACUGAUAUACCCAUUGAGAAAGAACUUUUCCUGGCAUGACCUGUUCUUGUAGCCCUUACAUACAGCAAGCAACCAAAUUUUCUUUAAGAUUUUCAUCUUUGUUUUGACUGAUUCUUUUCAAUGGAAGAUUGUCACAAUGCUGUGGACUUUGUGUAACUCCUGUUGUCACGAACUGCGUGUUAUUGGCUGUUGUUGCCGUGGGCACAAAGGGCAGGCAUAGGUGCAGAGGGUUGUUUUAAACAAAAGAGUCUUUUAAUAAUACAAUAACAUAAAACAUGAACAAUAAUGAAACAAAAACAAAAAACAAACAACUGAAACUAUAACUAAAAGCAUAGAGCAAACAGGCUCUAUGGCGAAACACCGGCUCCAUGGCGAAACACCGGCUCUAUGGCGAAACACCGGCUCUGUAGCUUUACACACAUAACAUAGGCUCUAUAGCAUUACAUAGGCUCUGUAUCUUGAGACAAGAAGCUCAGAGCGAGACCGGAGGCUCAGAGCGCACAAACAAACUACGCAUGUAGCUGAAUUAGACAAGACAGGACCACAGACAAUAACAAGGCUGGUAACUGGACAAGACUAGAGACGGAACGAGACUAGACAAAACUAGAGACAGAAAGGGAGAGCAUAUGAUGGAACAGGUUAAUAGUUAAACGUACCCAGAUCCGAACCUACCCCUAGCUACUCAUACACCCAGCCAAACAUGCCAGUUAGCCAAACAUGCAAUUAGCCAAACAUACAAUUAGCUAAACAUACUAGGAUACCUCAACAUUAGGGACACAACAAACAAUACUUACAUAAAACUUGUUACUAACACAAUCGAUACGGAAUCAGCUCCACACACACUAAAACACAGCAAUCAUACUUAUGACCUCUACACUGGAGUCUUGGGACUUACACACCGG